ACCGGUCGCAGAGAUGUGACCUUCUCUUCGGAGCCUGGAGCACAGGUGCUGCAUGGCUGUGAGCAUGUGGUUUAAUUCGACGCAACGCGCAGAACCUUACCAGCCCUUGACAUGUCCAGGCGUCAGCUCGUGUCGUGAGAUGUUGGGUUAAGUCCCGCAACGAGCGCAACCCCCGUCCUUAGUUGCUACCAUUUAGUUGAGCACUCUAAGGAGACUGCCGGUGAUAAGCCGCGAGGAAGGUGGGGAUGACGUCAAGUCCUCAUGGCCCUUACGGGCUGGGCUACACACGUGCUACAAUGGCGGUGACAAUGGGAUGCAAAGGCGCGAGCCCUAGCAAAUCUCAAAAAGCCGUCUCAGUUCGGAUUGGGCUCUGCAACUCGAGCC
rnacentral:rRNA from 2 species